rnacentral:lncRNA from 1 species
UAUAGGUCUUUUUUAAAAAAUUACUUUGAUUACCCAAUCAUUCCUUUCUCAGUAGUUUUUGAUAGCUCUUUUGUUUGUUGUAUAUAAAAUAUUCACAUAGAUUGUAUUUGUUUUCUCUGGGGCUGAAACGGGUGCUCUUUUGAUUGUUGUUGAACUGUAAUACAUUUUAAUAUCUGGCAGAGCCAGCACAUCCCAGAUUUUUCUCAUAGUUUAUCCUAUUUAUUUGUCUUUAGAAUACUAAGGAUUUUUUUUCUAGUUCCCAAAAAACACUGAAAGAAAUAAUUUUUUUUACAUUGUAUUCAAUCUGUAGACUUAUUUAGGGAAACCAACAUAUUUACAAUAUAGCCUUUCUAGAACCAUCCACAAAUGCAUUAUGUUUUUACUUUUACUCAAAUUCUUUUAAUUUGUCCAAAAUAGGAUGUUUUGUUUUUAAAGGUCACUUCCAUGAAAUAAUGAUGUUUAUUAUAACAAUCUAUGUUUUUGCUCAAUUUAGGUGGGAUUUCUUUUUUAAUCUAUAUUUUAUUUGCCCACAGCCAAUGUGCAAAAAAAGUACCAUUUUUGUUAUAUCUACAUCUCUAUCUAUCCAUCUAUCCUUUAUCCUGUAUCUGGUUAACUUACUACAUUUUAAAAAAAUAAUUCUGGAGGUUUUCAGUUAAAACUUUCUGUUUAUUUAAGUAUGUAGUCAUAGUAUCUAUCAAAAUGACCAUGAGAUUUUUCUUGCUUGAUCUUCUAAUGAAUUUUAACAGAUUUCUCCCUGUUGAGGCUUCAUCCUCACCGUCACAGCAUAAACCUCUUUUACUCUAUAUUAUUUCAUUUCUUACAGAUUUUCUUAGUUAGUAAUUUACUUUAAUAAUUUUUAUAUGAACAAAAGUGAUUGGUUUAAUUUAGAGUUUUUCUGGGUUAUGUGGUUCUUUUAAAACUUUUCCUUCUUUAUUAUAAUUUAAGGAAUCUACACAGUCAGUAAAGCUGCAAAAAGCAGAGAAACUCCUAGAACUGAAAAAUCAUCACCGGCUUGCCAUUUUUGCUUCAAGGCUUAUUUUGUCUUUCUUAAAAGAUAUGUAACUUUUGAGGCCAAAAAAAGUCUCCUUUAAUUCCACUUGUUGGUCUAUACCCAGAAGAAUUGAAAGCAGGGACUCAAAGAGAUAUUUGAGCAGCAUUAUUUGCGGUAUUGAAAAGGUAGAAGUGACUCAUGUGACAACUGGAAGAUGAAUGGCUGAGCAAAUGUGGUAUAACCAUACAACGGAAUAUCAUUCAGCCCUAAGAAUGAAGGGAAUUCGAACACAUUUGACAACAUGGAUGCAACAUGAAGACAUUUGGUUAGGUGCAAUAAACCAGAAACAAAAAGACAAAGCCUGU